CAGGACACCUUUUUGAUUUUUGUCUGCUGUUCCUAUUAGUUUACGAAUUCUGAAAUUUGCACAUAAAAUUGAAUACAGUGGUCCCUCGCUAUAACGCGCCUCGCUGUUUCGCGGAUUUUUAUUGUGCAAUUUUGCAUAAUUUCUCUUUUUUUUUUUCACAGCGCAUCGUGAUCUGCGUCCUGAUUGGCUGUAGACCAUUGUCAAUGAAUCUCCUCGGCGCAGUGUCUCCUGCACUUCCGGUGGCACCCAAACGGCAGAGGAAGAUGCUAACCAUGGCACAAAAAAGUUGGACUUCUGGACAUGCUAAAGGAAGUUGGAGCCAGGAGGCUGCACGAAGACCAAAGAGCUGAACAUGACAGAAAAACAACUUCUCUGUAAGAAGAGGAAACAAAAAGUAAAGGAUUGGCAUCAAGCUCAGAAAACAGAGAAAAGAAACUAGUGAUGGACUUCAAAAUAAACUGUAUCGUCCAAGCUUUGAAGAAUAACCACAAAACAAGUGUGACAGCACAACAAUCAACAGCCUCAAAAACGUGGAGAUUCAAAAUGAAAAAGUUUGUGUUGUGCACCCAAAAAAUGGCCUUGAAGCAAAGUUAUGAGACAGAUGAGAACAUAAAUCCAACCUUUGCCAAAGUCAGGGAAAGCCAACAGUGUGAAGAAAACCACAAAGUGCCCUUGACUCAAAUCAUUUCCGCUCCUCAGCGAAGCACACAGCAGCGAAAACCGUCAUCCUCGGCAGACUCGGAUAAUUCAUUUUCACUGACAGAGGAACAGAUGACGGCAGGGGGGAGCAGCAGGUGUUGUUUAGAAGUGUAAAGAUUAUUUUGGCAGGACGUUCAUCCUGCAACAAGACAGUGACACCCACCCCCCCAGCCACACCGAGGUGCAACCAAAGCUUUCAUCAGCCUCAGUCUUAAAUAAAGUGUCCACUUCAGGCUCCAGAUUUAAACCCUACUGAACAUUUUCUCUGCAGCAAAGGAGAGCAAAGGGUAAACGUCACUGGAAGGUGUUCUAAAAAACAAAAAACGUCCAAAAAACUUUUCCUUCUUUUGACAUACAUCUGUUCACUUGCACAUGUGGAAAAGCUGACUUUGACCACAAACUGGCAACAAAACAUAAGAUUUGACUGUCCCGAGACAGUAAGAUAAUUUGUAGAUGUACUUUGAAUUCAUAUUUUAGUUUCAUAUUUCAUGGUUAUAUUAACUGUUUAGUUUCUGUUUACUGCAGCUCUAAUUCUCACCAUGACUACAAAAAAGCACUGAGUUGCUGCCGUGUGAUUGGCUGAUGAUUUGCAUUAAGGAGCAGAUAACGAAGUGUACAGUGUAUUUCUGCUCCUGUCCACAGACUAGACAAAGUCUGGUGUGUUAAAAUCAUUGUUGUUUUUUUCCUAAUAACCUUUUUAAGGUGUGAAGUUUUUCCCUUUACCUGAUGAUGGACAGCCUGUUUUUUAACCACACAUACUGACACUGGCAGCUCGUUGCCUGCAGUAUGACCCAUAAUUAAAAGAGAAUUUUAUUUGUUUUUUUACUGUGUGAAUUUUCUGGCGUUUAACGGUUCAUCUAGCAGAGGCCACAGAAACUGAGACUGUUGUGGAGGGCUGCACCCACGAAGAGAUAAAAUUACUAUUGAGCAGAACUGUGUUCAGCUUCACUGGAAAAACUAAAUCCCCAGUAUUGUUGUAUAGUGAUAUAAAAAAAAAAGGGGGGUUGUGUUAUUUUAUGCAUUACUAAUACUAGGAAGAAAACCCUUA
ensembl:lncRNA